rnacentral:rRNA from 1 species
GAGAAAUUCCAAUCGAACCUGGAGAUAGCUGGUUCUCUCCGAAAUAGCUUUAGGGCUAGCCUCAAGUGAUGAUUAUUGGAGGUAGAGCACUGUUUGGACGAGGGGCCCCUCUCGGGUUACCGAAUUCAGACAAACUCCGAAUGCCAAUUAAUUUAACUUGGGAGUCAGAACAUGGGUGAUAAGGUCCGUGUUCGAAAGGGAAACAGCCCAGACCACCAGCUAAGGUCCCAAAAUAUAUGUUAAGUGGAAAAGGAUGUGGCGUUGCCCAGACAACUAGGAUGUUGGCUUAGAAGCAGCCAUUAUUUAAAGAGUGCGUAAUAGCUCACUAGUCGAGUGACACUGCGCCGAAAAUGUACCGGGGCUAAACAUAUUACCGAAGCUGUGGAUUGUCCUUUGGACAAUGGUAGGAGAGCGUUCUAAGGGCGUUGAAGCAUGAUCG